rnacentral:rRNA from 1 species
GUCCCGGUUUAAGCGUGUAGGUGUGUGUUCCAGGCAAAUCCGGUUCACUUUAACACUGAGGCGUGACGACGAGGCACCACGGUGCUGAAGCAACAAAUGCCCUGCUUCCAGGAAAAGCCUCUAAGCAUCAGGUAACAUCAAAUCGUACCCCAAACCGACACAGGUGGUCAGGUAGAGAAUACCAAGGCGCUUGAGAGAACUCGGGUGAAGGAACUAGGCAAAAUGGUGCCGUAACUUCGGGAGAAGGCACGCUGACACGUAGGUGAAGUGAUUUACUCAUGGAGCUGAAGUCAGUCGAAGAUACCAGCUGGCUGCAACUGUUUAUUAAAAACACAGCACUGUGCAAACACGAAAGUGGACGUAUACGGUGUGACGCCUGCCCGGUGCCGGAAGGUUAAUUGAUGGGGUCAGCGCAAGCGAAGCUCCUGAUCGAAGCCCCGGUAAACGGCGGCCGUAACUAUAACGGUCCUAAGGUAGCGAAAUUCCUUGUCGGGUAAGUUCCGACCUGCACGAAUGGCGUAAUGAUGGCCAGGCUGUCUCCACCCGAGACUCAGUGAAAUUGAACUCGCUGUGAAGAUGCAGUGUACCCGCGGCAAGACGGAAAGACCCCGUGAACCUUUACUAUAGCUUGACACUGAACAUUGAGCCUUGAUGUGUAGGAUAGGUGGGAGGCUUUGAAGCGUGGACGCCAGUCUGCGUGGAGCCGACCUUGAAAUACCACCCUUUAAUGUUUGAUGUUCUAACGUGGACCCGUAAUCCGGGUUGCGGACAGUGUCUGGUGGGUAGUUUGACUGGGGCGGUCUCCUCCUAAAGAGUAACGGAGGAGCACGAAGGUUGGCUAAUCCUGGUCGGACAUCAGGAGGUUAGUGCAAUGGCAUAAGCCAGCUUGACUGCGAGCGUGACGGCGCGAGCAGGUGCGAAAGCAGGUCAUAGUGAUCCGGUGGUUCUGAAUGGAAGGGCCAUCGCUCAACGGAUAAAAGGUACUCCGGGGAUAACAGGCUGAUACCGCCCAAGAGUUCAUAUCGACGGCGGUGUUUGGCACCUCGAUGUCGGCUCAUCACAUCCUGGGGCUGAAGUAGGUCCCAAGGGUAUGGCUGUUCGCCAUUUAAAGUGGUACGCGAGCUGGGUUUAGAACGUCGUGAGACAGUUCGGUCCCUAUCUGCCGUGGGCGCUGGAAGACUGAGGGGGGCUGCUCCUAGUACGAGAGGACCGGAGUGGACGCAUCACUGGUGUUCGGGUUGUCAUGCCAAUGGCACUGCCCGGUAGCUAAAUGCGGAAAAGAUAAGUGCUGAAAGCAUCUAAGCACGAAACUUGCCCCGAGAU